rnacentral:lncRNA from 1 species
AGGUUAUUGGGUCAUUUAAAAUAUAUAUUUUUUUUGUUAAAGUUGGCAUGCAAGGGUUAAUGAAUUUGGUUUUCGAAAAUGCCCCUUUCAUUUUUGUUUACAUUCUCCCUCCAUUGUGUAUUUUGGUUUUCAUUUUGUGUGUGUGUUUUCUCUCUCACGAAGCAAGUUUCAUCUUCUCCAGUGAGGCAAUCUGGCGAGACUCCGGUGAAGCAAUGGAAAGCUCCAGUGAUAAGGUAUUUUCUUUUUCGAAAAUGUUUCUUUAACACCCUUAUUUGACACAAAUUUGACACCAGCCAAGUGUCAAAUUUCUAUUGGCUUUUUUCUUUUAAAUGGAAAUGGGUUUUUUAAAAACUGACGAGGGUAGAAUAGGAAUUCUGAGGAUAUGAAAUUUCGUUUGACGGUUCCUUUUUUUUCUCUUUCACUUUGUUUCUGAAGCUUUUUAUCUCCCAUCACUCUUUCCAUUCCCGGUUGCUUCAUCUCUCCAAUCCUUUGGUUUCUCCGUUGCACCGUUCAUCUCAUCUCAACCAAAAAAAAGCUAUCUUUCGCAAGGUAAGCUUUAUUUCCUCUAUCCCCUUUUUGGGUGGCUUUGGCGUUGUGUGUGUGUUUUGUCAUUUCGUCCCCUUCUCGCAUUGUGUGGGUUUUCUUUCUGUAUCGUUUUGUCCCCUUCUCGAAUUGUUCUCUUUGGC